rnacentral:rRNA from 1 species
GGCCCGCACAAGCGGUGGAGUAUGUGGUUUAAUUCGAUGCAACGCGAAGAACCUUACCAGGGUUUGACAUCCUGCGAAUCUCUUGGAAACAGGAGAGUGCCUUCGGGAACGCAGUGACAGGUGGUGCAUGGCUGUCGUCAGCUCGUGUCGUGAGAUGUUGGGUUAAGUCCCGCAACGAGCGCAACCCACGUCUUUAGUUGCCAGCAUUAGUUGGGCACUCUAGAGAGACUGCCGGUGAUAAACCGGAGAAGGUGUGGAUGACGUCAAGUCAUCAUGCCCCUUACAUCUGGGCUACACACGUACUACAAUGCUACGGACAAAGGGCAGCAAGUUCGCGAGGACAAGCAAAUCCCAUAAACGUGGCUCAGUUCAGA